rnacentral:rRNA from 1 species
GAUGAACGCUGGCGGCGUGCUUAACACAUGCAAGUCGAGCGAGAAGUUUUGAAAAGAUUCUUCGGAUGAAAUUUAAAAUGGAAAGCGGCGGACGGGUGAGUAACGCGUAGGCAACCUGCCCCAUACAAAGGGAUAGCAUUUGGAAACGAAUAUUAAUACCUUAUGAAACUUAACUAGUGCAUGCUAGGUAGGUCAAAGAUUUAUCGGUAUGGGAUGGGCCUGCGUCUGAUUAGCUAGUUGGUGAGGUAACGGCUCACCAAGGCGACGAUCAGUAGCCGACCCGGGAGGGUGAACGGCCACAUUGGAACUGAGACACGGUCCAAACCACUACGAGAGGCAGCAGUGGGGAAUAUUGUACAAUGGGGGAAACCCUGAUGCAGCAACGUCGCGUGAACGAUGAAGGCCUUUGGGUCGUAAAGUUCUGUUAUAGGUGAUGAAAACUGACAGUAACCUAGGAGAAAGCCCCGGCUAACUCCGUG